rnacentral:lncRNA from 10 species
CUUUUUUGGUUGUCUCUGCCAGGCUUUGGUAUCAGGAUGAUGCUGGCCUCAUAAAAUGAGUUAGGGAGGAUUCCCUCUUUUUCUAUUGAUUGGAAUAAUUUCAGAAGAAAUGGUACCAGCUCCUCCUUGUACCUCUGGUAGAAUUCGGCUGUGAAUCCAUCUGGUCCUGGACUUUUUUUGGUUGGUAAGCUAUUAAUUAUUGCCUCAAUUUCAGAGCCUGUUAUUGGUCUAUUCAGAGAGUCAACUUCUUCCUGGUUUAGUCUUGGGAGGGUGUAUGUGUCGAGGAAUUUAUCCAUUUCUUCUAGAUUUUCUAGUUUAUUUGCGUAGAGGUG